CCUCGCGCUGACGGAUCGAACCCGAGCCCCGCCAUGGAUCUGGACCCGGUCGUGCUCCUUCCCGCCCUCCUCUUCACCGUGGUCGCCCUGUAUGUGGCCUCCUCUCUGCUCCGGAGGAGCGGCGACUCCUCCGCCGGGACCAAGAAGCCCAAAGCCGGCUCCAGAGACGGCGUCCCCCCGUCCAGAGCGCUGGGAGAGGCGGUCCGGACCGAACCGGCCGCCCGGGACCACCCGGAGCUCCAGGCUGCUCCAGAACCAGCUCCAGAACCAGCCAAAGUUCCAGAACCAGCUCCAGAACCAGUCAAAGUACCAGAACCAGCUCCAGAACCAGUCGAAGAACCGGAGCCAGCUCCAGAACCAGUCAAAGAACUGGAAUCUAACCAAGAAAUAGUCAAAGAAGUGGAACCAGAACCAGUAUUAGUACCAAAACCAGCUCAAGAACCAGUCUUGGGACCAGAACUUGUUGAAGAACUCGAGUCUCUUCCAAGUCUCAUAACAACUCAAGAAUCUGCUUCUGAAAAGGAAGCAACACCUAAGCUAGUUCCUGAAACUCUUGAAGCUCUAGAACCUGUCCCAGAACCAGCUCCAGAACCAGUAAAGGUACCAGAGACUCUACCUGAAGUAGCUGUGGUUCCAGAACUGGACCCAGAGGGUCUCAAAGAUCCUAAACCGGAACCAGCUGCUGAACCAAAACCUCUUCCAGAGCCAAAAUCCAUUUCUGUACCAGACACAACUCCAGAACUUGGACCAGUGGCUCCAACUGAACCGGAUGCUGCAGUGAAUCCAGACUCUGAGCCUGAACCCGUCCCAGAACCGCUGAUCCAGUCGGAUGCGGCUACUGACCAACUCCAACAAGCACCCGAAAACACCAAGGAACCAGAGGAGUCUGCUCCAGACCCGGUUCUGGAAUUCCCUGAGGCUGCUGACGGGGGGUCCAAGGAACCACAGCAAGACCCCAAGAUGGUUCCGAACGAACAUCUCGUCUCACUUUCUCCUCUCUUGGUUCAGCCCAUGUUUCCUUCUGGGCCAGAAUGCACGAAGACUGCAGAACCGGUACCAGAUGCAGCUGAAGACGAGGAGGUCUCCUCGGGGAGCAGCAGCGUCGGGACGCUGAUGACCAGGGAGGAGGUGCUGGAGGAGCAGAGCUUGUAGGCUCCGCCCCUGCCGGCUUUCUUCUGUUGCUCUGCUGACGUUUGCGACUGCCGCCGGCGUCCGUCUGCUCUGCUAGCCUGCAUGCUGCCCGCUAACACCUGACGCUGAUCGGUGAGGAGCAGCCCUGAAGGAUGAAGGCUGGAUCCAGCCGGUGAUUCCUUCAUGUCCAUCUGAGAUGUUUGUGAAACCGCUUUCAACCGGACUGCCUUCAGAACCGGAGACAGAUGAUCCGGACGCUCCGGAUGGUCCUGCAGCUUCUGUGUCCUUAACGAGUGAAGUCUGUGUUUCUGUGUCACUGCUGGGUCUUCAGGACCUCCUGAGGUCCUGAGGGAUCCUCCUCCUCCUACGGGAGGUCUUGAAGGUUCCUUCUCGUGCAGGAGGUCCUGAGGGAUCCUCCUCCUACAGGAGGUCCUGAAGGCUCCUCCUCCUCCUGCUGGAACCUCAUCUUCUCUUUGUUCUCCGUCUCAUCUGAAGGUGUUUGUGCUGCACCGCUCUCUAGUGGCCUGAUGGAGAGUCUCUGCUCCUCCUUCCUCCCUGAUGAGACCUUCAUCUGCUCCUCCCAUCUGAUUGAGGAGGAGCAGCAGAGACUCUCCUCUUGCAGGAGCAGUUUGAGUCUGAAUGAAGCAUGAGGCUGUAAAGCUGAGCUGGAAAACAUGGAGGAAACGUUGAUCCGAGUUCUGCUUCUUUCACGCAAAAAUCUUUGAGAAAUAAAACAAUAAACUCAA